rnacentral:lncRNA from 1 species
CAUCUGGUUCCAUUUUAUUAAAAAACAAAACCAAAAGAAAUUUUGCAGUGAAAUUUCCUGGAAUUCACAACCCUCAUUUAAAAAUCCUUAUAGUUGCAAUAUUUUUUUUUUAGCCAGUACGUAAGAACACGAUUGCACUUAUUUACAUGAUAGUCUUCUAUAUAACAAAAAUAACCAUGUUGUAAUGACUGUUUCCAACUAUCACCCUUGUUUCAUCACUAGCCCAUUAUGAGACAAGUUGAUUACGCUCUCCAAGUACAAAGAGAAUAGAAUAAAGCAAAAUAAAAGUCUGUGUCUCCUAAUAGAAGACAAAUUCCUUUAAAGACAGUUACUUUUUUUUUUUUUUCAAUUUCUUUGUAUUUCAAGAGGGAUAUAAAGUGCUCUGAAAGGAGUAGGGUAGGUGCCUGAGGUGGGGAAGAAGGAAAGAAAUUUAUACAGAAAAAAUUUAAAAAACUACACUGCCUUAACUAAUCAUCUCAAUAUGCACACAACUUUGUACAGAAGAUUAGUUUUGGGUAAAAACGCUACAUAAUUCACUAGUACUUAUUUCGGCAAUUAAGAACUGAAGUCCAAAUGAAAGACUCCCCAUGCAAAUGUCAUCAGGAGUGACUUUUUUGUGAUUUUGGGUCAGAUGCUAUAUAAAUCAAGGAAGCUCAGUCACACAGUCUGAAUAUGGAGAGGAUAGACAAUGCCGAGAUGGAACCAUCAUCUACUACCUGCAGACUAGCCAGAAAGACCUUGUGGGGAAGCUAAGUAGACUUUACCCCAACAUCAAUCAUUUUACAACAAAAGCAUUUUGUUGCAAGCAUUUGUUUACAAUAAAAGUAAUUUGUGUUAGGAUGGAAAAAAAGCCAUUGGAAUUUCCUCUUGCUAGUAGGGAGGAAGAUUGAUUUAUGAUGUCAUGUCUGAUUAUUUAUAAUUGUAAAUUCAUUAUUUGCAGAUUUUUUUCUAGUGGGAAAUAAUAUGCUGUACAAAGUGGUUAAAAUAAGUUAUUUCUUUUUCACAUUUUUGCAACUGGCAAUUGCUGGUUAUUGUCUGCAGUCUACAAAACUGAGUAUCACAUAUGUACUGCUUGAGAGUUUCCCCUGGAAACCAGAAUAAUCAUCCUCCCAGCUCAUGAACAUUUUAAAGAACAAUACCCAUUUUUUUUUCCAGAAAAUGGAUGGAAUGUAACUUUUCACAAAUACAAAAUUAUUUCAUUUUCUAAAUGUAAGGGACACCCCUCUAUAAAAAUAACAGUCCCUCCCCACUCCCACCCCUACAUCUCCUUCUAAUUAUAAAAUGGUAGAACCAUCUCAGAUUACUAAUGUGAAAGCAGGAAGUAAAUAUAUUAUGUACAUGUACAAAACACAUCAGUAUUUCACACCAUUUACAUUCAUAUGAAGUCUUUUUAUUGAUCUUCCUUUGCAAUUUCACAAGAAUAAAGUUGAGAUAACUUACAAAAACAAGCAGUCCCUUGCUUAUAACUGCACAAACAUUCUAGCCAGAGGCAUCUUCUUUGCAAACAGAGCAACAUUAUCCUUCAACAUUUUGCAGAAGUAAGGGCUGCUGACAGUGAGAAGAUCUGUGGGGUCUCCUUCAGCUUUUUAGAGUUUGUGACACUCUUUCCUCAUUUGAUAAAUGUAGACCAAAUUCUCAACUACCGAAGAAAUUGUAUGAUGAAAGGCAAGUAACUGGUUGUUGAAUUCAUGACCCAAGUCAAAUUAAUCUGCUGCAAGAAUAAUUGCGAUUACUCCAGCAGAGGGCACUCUGCUCCUUGCAAUAACAUCCUACUGAACAGUAAGUACCAUGGAUGCCAACACAAAUUCAGACCGAAAAGUCCAUGUAUGUGUUAGUUCUUCAACUGCUCUACUAUACCCAUUAGUACAGGCAACAGUUUUGUAUCUUCUUCGAAAGAGCAGGAUAUACUAUAUUUAGCUAGCUCUUAUACAUGAAAAUUCUUUGGCUAUUUAAAAUCUUCACAUUCUCAAAGAGAACAAUGUUCUGAGUUCAGUAAAGCGCUAGAUUUGUUGGAAAGUUUUGAAGGAAAAGGGGACUAAACACUAGACUUUAAAGAUGGUGUGGUACUAAGGCCACAAUUCAUUUUUUAGAUUUCGGGAUUUAGUAAGGUCAAUCAACAGUCUGCAACAGAAAACCCCAUAAGGUUUAAUGGUUUCAUUCAACCAUGCAACCCACCUUCGCUUUUAUUUAUGAGAACAUUGCAGACCUCUUAAUAGACGUGUAUAUUUUUGUCUUAUCAUCAGCAAAUAUUUAUCAGGUGGCCACAGAGCAAAUGGCUCUGUAUUAAGUGCAAACGUCAGUGGUAGCACAGAAUUAGAAGAUCUUUGAUCACUGAAAUUCCUGAAAAAGCCACGUGAUUAUGAAGCACUCAAGGCAGGUGAAGAGAGAUGUGACUGACCUUAGCAGGUUCUUGUAGAACAAGCAGGAUUGCAAUCAAAUUGCUCGAUAUUAAGGGGCCACGUCUAGCAUCUGGACUUGCUUCAUUAGUUCUGGGAUGAUAACUUGGUGUCAAUAAAAGGUGUAGAGUGGAAGAGUGUGGCUAUUGAUCUGUGGGUCUUUAAAAAUUAAUGUUCCUAUUACACAGGGUCUGGGGUUGAGUGAGGACAAAAGGAGGGAAAAGGAAGAGCUAAGGGAUGAUGAGAAACUCAUAUUAGCUUCUUAGAAUUAAUUUAUUUUUCAGGCAAUCCAGACCUUCUUUGCAAUCAUGAGUAUUUUAACUCAUGAGUAUUUAAUUCCUUAAAAAUACAAACUCCCCAAAACCCAGGUCAGCUCUAAACCUAGGGAUGAGCAUUUACUUGGGGACAGCACGCACAUUUUGUUAAGCACAGAAGCUUUCCAGCCCUGCUUUGACCAGCUCCCUGAUCAGAGAUCCUGCCAUCCUCUUUUCUUACUUCCUGCAGGGUGACACUCCCAUCCCAUUUUAACUGCCAACAUCAAACGUAUUCAUCCAUGCAAUGGCAUGGAUGAAGGACCUCGGUGGCCAAGAGCACUGCAUGAAGAACCAUGCAUCCCCAUCUUAAGAGGGUAGUCUCUUCGUGUCUCUUUGUCAGUCUUCAGGAAUUAGUGGCCCUCAGAUCACUUACGAUGAGCAAGCACUUGUGCUAAGUAGUUAGGAAGAAUGGGCAUUCCAUCAGGUACAGUAUACAAGUUUUUCCAAGAAAUCCUAACCCUGGGGGCUCAGGCGAAUGAGGAGGGUCAAAUGCUGAGGGUGGGAGAAAGCAGAUCUAGACAGCAUUCUGGAAUUGUUGCUUUGCCAUUAUUUGCCCAGAAAACAUUUAUGGCAAGGAAGCCUGAAAACAUGGCAAUGGUUGUAAGAUGGGUUGCGAUACAACUGGUGAUGUGAGAAGUGAAAAUGAAACUGACUCCUUUAGGGAGGACAUUGGUUUAUAGUAAACAGGUUUGCCUCAUCAGAAGUGAAUAUGGAUAUUGCUACACAAUAAAAAGAGGAAAAACACCAACAACAGUAACAAUGGUAAUCACAAUAAUGAUAAUGACUCUGUAGGGGAUAUCUAACCCUAGAGAUUAAGUCAAUGUUCAAAAGCUGUAUUCAUAGUCAGGGCUCAGCUCUUCCAAAGGGACUAGCCACAUAGGAGGUAGCAGUUCCUAAAGGUGACCCUAAAUUAUUUUGAGUGAAUGCAAAUGCUCCUUUUCUUCCCCAUAGCAUUGGGGUGGCAGGUGGAUGCUGACUUGGAGUAAAAUGCUGGCUGUUGGAGGUGGUCAUAAUUCACCAAGUAGAGACCGGAUGAUCACAGGCCCCCAAAGAUUCUUUUUCAAGAAGGCCACAUAAAGUCUUGCAUUUCUCAUUCUUUCCUCCCAAGUUCGUGAGUUUUCACUACAGCUGUGGGACUGGGGGACACUGGGAAAGGACUUUCACCAACCAUGAACAAGAAGAAGGGGUUGAGGUAAAGUUGGGUGAUUUCAGUCUGGAGUUCUCUUUGGCUCCUAAGUGCCACAUAUCAGUCCGAGGGUUUGCCAUAGAAGUGAGGGGUAUAAUUUUGUUUCAGCACCAAAUCAGCAUGGUUUGUGUGAGUUUUAAGUAACAACUGGUCAGAGGAGUAACAACAAAUGGUCAUGGACAUCAAUGAUAUGGUUAGAAAGUUCAAGCAGAAAUUUUAAAAAGGGUGCCUGAAUCUUUAUUCACUACAAAAUAAAUGGACCUCUGGGCCUCUCAUUAGGCGACUUGGGUGGUGUCCAGUUCUCCCUGGAGGUAAUUAAGCUUUUAACCUUCUUUUCUUUUGUAAGGGUCGGGGGAUCUUGUGAGAAUACUGGAGGAACUCUAGACCUGCAUUGUCCAAUUGGCAGCCACUAGCCACAUGUGACUAUCCAAAUUGAGAGGUGCUGUGAGUGUAAAAGACACAAUGGAUUUAGAAGACUUAGUACACAAAAGCAUGUAAAACAUGUCAUUAAUUUACAUUAGUGACAUGUUGAAACAAUAUUAGGUUAAAGUACAUGAUUAAAAUUAUCUUUACCUGUUUCUUUUUACACUUUAAAAUGUGGCUAGUAGAAAAUUUAAAAUUAUGUCUGUGACUUGCAUUACGUUUCUGUUGGACAGUGCUAGUCUAGACUCUUGCUAUAGAAAAAUGCACAUCUGCAAAUACACAUACAGUCUGCAUUUGCUUCUAGAGGGUACACACACCCUCUGACACUCAUCUGUAGACUACCAGGUCUCCAGGUCAGUCUCUUCUUUGGGGGAGGUAAAGAAGGCUAUAAGGAAGGGCUGUUCCCCUUUCUUCUGAAAGAGAAACUUUCUGGUUAAGCUUUUUUUUUUUCUUUUUUUUUUUUUUUUUAAACUAUCAAAGCUACAGGAAAAUCCUCCAGAAACAAACUUUGGUAAGUAGUGAAUGGCAAAGGCUCAGGGGGU